UGGGGAAUAUUGCACAAUGGGCGCAAGCCUGAUGCAGCCAUGCCGCGUGUGUGAAGAAGGCCUUCGGGUUGUAAAGCACUUUCAGCGGGGAGGAAGGCGGUGAGGUUAAUAACCUCAUCGAUUGACGUUACCCGCAGAAGAAGCACCGGCUAACUCCGUGCCAGCAGCCGCGGUAAUACGGAGGGUGCAAGCGUUAAUCGGAAUUACUGGGCGUAAAGCGCACGCAGGCGGUCUGUCAAGUCGGAUGUGAAAUCCCCGGGCUCAACCUGGGAACUGCAUCUGAUACUGGCAAGCUUGAGUCUCGUAGAGGGGGGUAGAAUUCCAGGUGUAGCGGUGAAAUGCGUAGAGAUCUGGAGGAAUACCGGUGGCGAAGGCGGCCCCCUGGACGAAGACUGACGCUCAGGUGCGAAAGCGUGGGGAGCAAACAGG
rnacentral:rRNA from 1 species